rnacentral:rRNA from 1 species
GGGCCCGCACAAGCGGAGGAGCAUGUGGUUUAAUUCGAUGAUACGCGAGGAACCUUACCCGGGCUUGAACGUGAGACGAAUAUAUAAGAGAUUAUAUAGCCUUCGGGCGUCUUGCGAGGUGCUGCAUGGUUGUCGUCAGCUCGUGCCGUGAGGUGUUAGGUUAAGUCCUGCAACGAGCGCAACCCCUACACUUAGUUGCCAGCAUGUCAUGAUGGGGACUCUAAGAGAACUGCCUACGCAAGUAGAGAGGAAGGUGGGGAUGACGUCAAAUCAGCACGGCCCUUAUGUCCGGGGCUACACACGUGCUACAAUGGUAUGUACAGAGGGCAGCCACCUGGUGACAGGGAGCAAAUCCUCAAAACAUAUCUCAGUUCGGAUUGGAGUCUGUAACUCGACUCUAUGAAGUCGGAUUCGCUAGUAAUCGCACAUCAGCCAUGGUGCGGUGAAUACGUUCCCGGGCCUU